rnacentral:lncRNA from 1 species
AACGUGACUCGGCAAUACUCUAGGAAGAUGUGGAGCUACCAACCAAGAGUUGAUAUCUGGAGGCAGCCUACAGAGGAUGGUCCUCACCUCGCCUAUCUACACCUGCGUGGCAUGAAACACAGCACCCCAAGAAAAGGGACGUCAGUACGAAGAAUGUACCGAGUAUGUAAGGCAGAAAUGAAACGUAAUAAUAAUGAGAUACUAUCUCGGAGAGAGAUAAGAGUCAACUUAUAACUUUUGACCUGCCGCUGAGGGCCGUAACAUGUAGAAUAUAACCCAUUCGUAUAUAUAAAUUAAACUAUGAUAUAGUAGUUCUGAUUACACCAUUCUUGUGGCUUUAACUGCCCAACUGAUCAGUGGUAACUGCCCGACCGGCCGUAACACAGUGGUAAAUACAUGACUGCCCGAUCGGCCGUAGCUUGGUGAUAAAUGCAUGACUGCCCGAUCGGCCGUAGCUCGGUGGUAAAUAUGUAACUGCCCAACCAGCCGUAGCUCGGUGAUAAAUGUAUGACUGUCUGACCGGUGAUAAAUAAUGAUACAUAAUUGCCUAACCGGUGGUAACUGCCCGACCGGCUGUAUCAUAGUGGUAAAUGCAUAUCUGCCAACCCCUAAUAGAGAACAAUUCAUGCCAAAGCUCCCUUUUUUUUCUACCAGAAGGAUAGUAGUCAUCCAAAGAUCAACUCCUUCAAUAAAACAAUAGCUGCGUAGACCCAUCAAUUUAUUAACGUUACAUAUCCAUAUUUUCUUGUGUUACUGGAAACAUGACUUAGAACUAGAGUUACUUUUACUUACUUUUGCCAACAAUCUCGCUGGCUCUAAAAGCUUCAGUCAUAAAAAGUAAAAUACAAGGUUAGAUAACAAGCUUUUAUCUUUGGCAGCAUUCUUUGGCUGGAACAUUACAUCUACAUGUAGAUAGUUGUUAUCUUUUAAUCUCUCCUAAUAAAGUAAUGACACCCGUACUUGCAAUGCAAUACUUAUUCAGCUAUUGAAGUAUAAUUCAGUCUCAAAACGUUGGCUGAGUAGACUAUCCGCUCACAAGAACUAAGAAGAGAUUCACGUAAAUAAUGUAAUUGAAUAACGUAGAUAUCCUUAACUGCUAAGAAUAGAACUAUUUAUGGAUUAUCAUUGCGUUUACGUAUCGUUACUUACAUCAUGCCAAAAGAAAGAAGAACUAGCCUUAACAUACCUGAGUUGAUUCUCUUAAAAAGAUUGCACCGUGUUAAGCAUCGAGCAACCAACUAUCCUUGGUACACUGACAGAGGAACGAAAUUUACUCUUCACGGGCAGUUGAGUAACAUUAUUGGUUACCCAAAGUUGGAGGACUCAUAGAUGAGUUUAUUAUAAUUGAAUAAUAGCACACUACUAUCUUUUAAGUUGGAUUGAAAAGUACAGCAAUGCAAGAAAAGAAGUUGAAGAUUCAACAACUCCCUUAAAAGUAUGCUUGUUUUUGAAAUUAUUAAUUAUUAAGUAAAAAAUAA